rnacentral:rRNA from 1 species
GGGGAAUAUUGCACAAUGGGCGAAAGCCUGAUGCAGCGACGCCGCGUGAGGGAUGGAGGCCUUCGGGUUGUAAACCUCUUUCGCUCAUGGUCAAGCCGCAACUGUGGGUUGUGGUGAGGGUAGUGGGUAAAGAAGCGCCGGCUAACUACGUGCCAGCAGCCGCGGUAAUACGUAGGGCGCGAGCGUUGUCCGGAAUUAUUGGGCGUAAAGGGCUUGUAGGCGGUUGGUCGCGUCUGCCGUGAAAUUCUCUGGCUUAACUGGGGGCGUGCGGUGGGUACGGGCUGACUUGAGUGCGGUAGGGGAGACUGGAACUCCUGGUGUAGAGGUGGAAUGCGCAGAUAUCAGGAAGAACACCGGUGGCGAAGGCGGGUCUCUGGGCCGUUACUGACGCUGAGGAGCGAAAGCGUGGGGAGCGAAC